rnacentral:rRNA from 1 species
UACAGAGGAUGCAAGCGUUAUCCGGAAUUAUUGGGCGUAAAGAGCUCGUAGGCGGCCUGUCGCGUCGGUUGUGAAAGCCCGGGGCUUAACCCCGGGUCUGCAGUCGAUACGGGCAGGCUAGAGUUCGGUAGGGGAGAUCGGAAUUCCUGGUGUAGCGGUGAAAUGCGCAGAUAUCAGGAGGAACACCGGUGGCGAAGGCGGAUCUCUGGGCCGAUACUGACGCUGAGGAGCGAAAGCGUGGGGAGCGAACAGG